rnacentral:tRNA from 1 species
CAAGGCACUGAAAAUGCCUAGAUGAGUGUAUUAACUCCAUAAACA